UUGCUCGCUUUGGCAGCACAUAUACAAAACAUUUGAUCGAUACAGAGAAGAUUAGCAUGGCCCCUGCAAAAUGAUGACACGCAAAUCCAUGAAGCACAAUUGCUGUAU
ensembl:snRNA U6 U6 spliceosomal RNA